GCUAGUUGGUGAGGUAACGGCUCACCAAGGCGACGAUCAGUAGCCGACCUGAGAGGGUGAUCGGCCACAUUGGAACUGAGACACGGUCCAAACUCCUACGGGAGGCAGCAGUGGGGAAUAUUGGGCAAUGGGCGAAAGCCUGACCCAGCAACGCCGCGUGAAGGAAGAAGGUCUUCGGAUCGUAAACUUCUAUCCUUGGUGAAGAUAAUGACGGUAGCCGAGAAGGAAGCCCCGGCUAACUACGUGCCAGCAGCCGCGGUAAUACGUAGGGGGCAAGCGUUGUCCGGAAUGAUUGGGCGUAAAGGGCGCGUAGGCGGCCUGGUAAGUCUGGAGUGAAAGUCCUGCUUUUAAGGUGGGAAUUGCUUUGGAUACUGUCGGGCUUGAGUGCAGGAGAGGUAAGUGGAAUUCCCGGUGUAGCGGUGAAAUGCGUAGAGAUCGGGAGGAACACCAGUGGCGAAGGCGACUUACUGGACUGUAACUGACGCUGAGGCGCGAAAGUGUGGGGAGCAAACAGGAUUAGAUACCCUGGUAGUCCACACUGUAAACGAUGAAUGCUAGGUGUAGGGGGUAUCGACCCCUUCUGUGCCGGAGUUAACACAAUA
rnacentral:rRNA from 1 species